CAACCCUCAGGCCCUGCCUGGCGUUGGAGGACUGCGCACGCAGCCUCCCAAAGCGAGCGGCGGCGGCGCCCCGAAACCGAACGCAGUAGUUACUUCUCGUUCUGGGUCCGGGUCGUUGUCCUGCCGGAAAACCCCCUUCUAAUCAAUGG
rnacentral:misc_RNA from 1 species